AGUGAACGCUGGCGGUAGGCCUAACACAUGCAAGUCGAACGGCAGCACAGUAAGAGCUUGCUCUUACGGGUGGCGAGUGGCGGACGGGUGAGGAAUACAUCGGAAUCUACUUUUUCGUGGGGGAUAACGUAGGGAAACUUACGCUAAUACCGCAUACGACCUACGGGUGAAAGCAGGGGAUCUUCGGACCUUGCGCGAUUGAAUGAGCCGAUGUCGGAUUAGCUAGUUGGCGGGGUAAAGGCCCACCAAGGCGACGAUCCGUAGCUGGUCUGAGAGGAUGAUCAGCCACACUGGAACUGAGACACGGUCCAGACUCCUACGGGAGGCAGCAGUGGGGAAUAUUGGACAAUGGGCGCAAGCCUGAUCCAGCCAUACCGCGUGGGUGAAGAAGGCCUUCGGGUUUAAAGCCCUUUUGUUGGGAAAGAAAAGCAGCAGGCUAAUACCCCGCUGUUCUGACGGUACCCAAAGAAUAAGCACCGGCUAACUUCGUG
rnacentral:rRNA from 1 species